UUUCCGUAGGUGAACCUGCGGAAGGAUCAUUACAGAGUUCAUCCCCGAAAGGGCACUACUCCCACCCUUGUGUAUUCUUACUUUGUUGCUUUGGCGAGCGCAAUCUCGCCAGAGAAUACCAAAGCUCUUUUUAUUAAUGUCGUCCGAGUACUAUAUAAUAGUUAAAACUUUCAACAACGGAUCUCUUGGUUCUG
rnacentral:misc_RNA from 1 species